rnacentral:lncRNA from 1 species
GUUCAGCAAGAGCCAAAUUAUGUUGUAUAAGUUAAUAUUAUUCAUGUUGAGUUACAGGGUCUGGUGGAAUCUAUAGAAAUAAUCUGAAACAAAUUUUUGUUUCUCACAUUCACUUGAAAUAAAUUUGGGGACAAAUAGAUCUGUCAAAACAAGGAAAUUUUUUUUUUUUUUAAAUAUAGCAAUGUCACUUCUCCUUUUCUUUGUUAAUUGUCUCACCUUUUCCCUGACCAUUUGUGAAUUUCUGUCUAAAG